rnacentral:rRNA from 1 species
GUUGUAUGGUUAAGUGACUAAGCGUACACGGUGGAUGCCUUGGCAGUCAGAGGCGAUGAARGACGUAGUAACUUGCGAUAAGCCCAGAUUAGGUAGUAACAACCAUUUGAGUCUGGGAUUUCYGAAUGGGGAAACCCACUUACAUAAGUAAGUAUCCUUACCUGAAUACAUAGGGUAAGGAGGCGAACCGGGGGAACUGAAACAUCUAAGUACCCCGAGGAAAAGAAAUCAACCGAGAUUCCGAAAGUAGCGGCGAGCGAAAUUGGACUAGCCCUUAAGCUUUACACGCGUUAGACGAACGGUCUGGAAAGUCCGACGAUACAGGGUGAUAGUCCCGUAGUUGACGACGUGUGUUCAGUGAAAUCGAGUAGGGCGGGACACGUGA